rnacentral:lncRNA from 1 species
UUUUUUUUUUUUUAGUUUUUUUUUUCUUUUUUCUUUUUUUAGCACUCGGUGAAUUUUAUUACAAUUAUAGUUGUACAACAAUCAUCACAACCAAAUUUUAUUGCAUUUCCAUCCCAAACCCCCAGUUCAUCCCCCAACCUGUGUCAUUUAGAAACCAUAGGUUGUUUAAGGUCUGUGAGUCAGUAUCUGCUCUGCAAAGAAGUUCAUUGUCUUUUCUUUUAGAUUCCACAUAUGUGAUAGCAUACAAUGUUGGUGUCUCACUGUCUGACUGAUUUCACUUAGCAUGAUAAUUACUAAGUCCGUCCAUAUUGCUGCAAAUGCCAUUACUUUAUUCCUUUUAAUGGCUGAGUAAUAUUCCACUGUGUAUAUGUACCACUUCUUUAUCCACUCCUCUGUUUUUUUUUUUUUUUUUUUUUUUUUGGGUUGUUUCCAUGUCUUGCCUAUUGUAUAGAGUGCUGCAGUGAAAAUUGGAGUACAUGAGUCUUUUUGAGUCAUGGAUUUCUCUGGAUAGAUGCCCAGGAGUGGGAUUGCUGUGUCAAAUGCUAAUUCUAUUUUUAGUUUUCUGAGGAAUUUCCAUACUGUUUUCCACAGUGGUUGCACCAAUUUAUGUUCCCACCAACAGUGUGAUAGUGUUCCCUUUUCCCCACACUGUCUCCAGAAUUUAUUGUUUGUAGACUUUGAUGAUGGCCAUUCUGGCUGGUGUAAGUUGAUAUCUCAUAGUGGUUUUGAUUUGCAUUUCUCUAAUAAUGAGUGAUGUUGAACAUCUUUUCAUGUGUUUUUUUGGCCAUCUGUAUGUCUUCUUUGGAGAAUUGUCUGUUUAGAUCUUCUGCCCAUUUUUGGGUGGAGUUGUUUGAUUUUUGAUAUUGAGCUGUAGGAGGUGUUUAUAAACUUUGGAUAUUAAUCCCUUGUCAGUCAAUUCAUUUGCAAAUAUUUUCUCCCAUUCUGUGGGUUGUCUUUUCAUUUUGUUUAGGGUUUCCUUUGCUGUGCAGAAGCUUUUAAGUUUGAUUAGGUCCCAUUUGUUUAUUUUUGUUUUUAUUGUCAUUACUCUAAGAAGUGGAUCUAAGAUGUUGCUGUGGUUUAUGUUGGAGAGUGUUUGGCCUGUGCUUUCCUCUAAGAGUUUUAUGGUAUCUGGUCUUAUAUCUAGGUCUUUAAUCCAUUUGGGGUUUAUUUUUGUGUAUGGUGUUAAGGAGUGUUCUAAUUUCAUUCUUUUACAUGUGGCUGUCCAGUUUUCCCAGCACCACUUAUUGAAGGGGCUGUCUUCUCCAUUGUAUAUUCUUGCCUCCUUUGUCAUAGAUUACUUGGCUGUAGAUGUGUGGGUUUAAUUCUGGGCUUUCUAUCUUGUUCCACUGAUCCAUAUUUCUGUCUUUGUGCCAGUACAAUAUGGUUUUGAUGACUGUAGAUUUGUGGUAUUGUCUGAGGCCAGGGAGUCUGAUUCUUCCAGCUCCAUUUUUCUUUCUCAGGAUGGCUUUGACUAUUAUGGGUCUUUUGUGCUUCCAAACAAACUUUAAAAUAUUUUGUUCAAGUUCUGUGGGAAAUGUCCCUGGUAGUUUGAUACUGGUUGCAUUGAAUCUGUCAAUUGCCUUGGGUAGUAUAGUCAUUUUGAUAGUAUUGACUCUUCCAAUCCAAGAGGAUGGUAUGUCUUUCCAUCUGUUUGUGCCAUCUUUUAUUUCUUUCAUCAGUAGCUUAUAGUUUUCAGAGUACAGGUCUUUUGUCUCUUUAAGUAGGUUUACUCCUAGGUAUUUUAUUCUUUUGCAUGUGAUGGUGAACGGGAUUACUUCCUUAAUUUCUCUUUCUGAUCUUUAGCUGUUAUUAUUGAAAUGUAUUCGAUUUAUGUCUAUUAAUUUUGUAUCCUGCCACUUUGCCAAAUUCAUUGAUGAGCUCUAAUAGUUUUCUGGUAGCAUCUUUAAGAUUUUCUAGGUAUAGUGUCAUGUCAUCUUCAAAUAGUGAUAGUUUACUUCUUCCCUUCGAAUUUGAAUUCCUUUUAUUUCUUUUUCUUCUCUGAUUGCCAUGGCUAGGACUUCCAAAACUAUGUUGAAUAGUAGUGGGAGAGCAGACGUCCUUGUCUUCUUUCUGAUCUCAGUGGGAAUUCUUUCAGCUUUUCACCAUUAAGAAUGAUGUUAGCUCUGGGUUUGUCAUAUAUGGCCUUUAUUUUGUUGAGGUGGGUUCCCUCUAUGCCCAUUUUCUGAAGGGUUUUUAUCAGAAAUGGAGGUUGGAUUUUGUCAAAGGCUUUUUCUGCAUCUUUUGAGAGGAUCAUAUGGUUUUCAUUCUUCAGUUUUUUAAUGUGGUGUAUCACACUGAUUUGCAAAUAUUGAAUCCUUGCAUCCCUGGGACAAAUCUCACUUGAUUAGGAUGUACAAUCCUUUCAAUGUGUUGUUGGAUUCAGUGUGCUAGUACUUUGUUGAGGAUUUUUGCAUGUAUAUUCAUCAGUGAGAUUGGCUUGUAAUUUUCUUUUUUGUGAUUCCUUUGUCUGGUUUUGGUAUCAGGGUGAUAGUGGCCUCCUAGAAUGAGUUUGGGAGUGUUUCUUCCUCUGAAAUUUUUUGGAAUAGUUUCAGAAGGAUAGAUGUUAGUGCUUCUCUAAAUGUUUGAUAGAAUUUGCCUGUGCAGCCAUCUGGUCCUGGACUUUUGUUUGUUGAAAUUUUUUAAAAUCACCAUUUCAAUUUCAGUACUUGGGAUUGGUCUGUUCAUCUUUUCUAUUUCAUCUUGGUUUAGUCUUGGAAGAUUGUACUUUUCUAAGGAAAAAUUUGUAUAUUUCUUCUGGAUUUUCCAUUUUAUUGCCAUACAGUUGCAUAUAGAAGUCUCUUAUGAUCCUUUGUAUUUCUGUGAUGCCUAUUGUAACUUCACCUUAUUUCUAAUUUUAUUGAUUUGAUUUCUCUCUCUUUUUUUCUUGAUAAAUAUGGCUAAAGGUUUAUGAAUUUUAUAGACCUUUUCAAAGAACCAAUUUUUGGUUUCAUUGAUCUUUUCUAUGGUUUUCUUCAUUUCUAUUUCAUUGAUUUCUGCUCUGAUAUUUAUGAUUUCUUUCCUUCUGCUAAUUUUAGAUCUUGUCUUUCUUCCCUGUCUAGCUACUUUAAAUAUAAAGUUAAGUUGUUCAUUUGAGCUUUUUCUUUUUUCCUGAGGUAGGCUUGUAUUGCUAUAAACUUUCCUCUUAGAAUUGCUUUUGCUGCAUCCCAUAGGUUUUGGAAUGUUGUGUCUUUGUUGUCAUUUAUUUCUAGGUAUUCCUUAAUUUCCUCUUUGAUUUCUUCAGUGAUCCUUUGGUUGUUUAGUAGCAUGUUGUUUAGUCUUUGCCUA